rnacentral:pre_miRNA from 1 species
GUGGCUGCCGGAUGGGUGCUCUCUACUAGUGCUGUGCAGAGGCUUUCGCUGAGGCUGCUGUGAGACUGUAGGGAUUCCCCCUAGGCUUCGGAGCUGG